rnacentral:rRNA from 1 species
GAUAAACGCUGGCGGCGUGCCUAAUGCAUGCAAGUCGCACGGAGUGCCUCUUCGGGGGCGCUGAGUGGCGAACGGGUGAGGAACGCGUGGAGAACCUACCCCGGCGUGGGGGAGUACCCGCCAGAAAUGGUGGCUAAUACCGCGUACGGUCCAGGGGCGAGAGGCCAUCUGGAAGAAAGCAGUGAUGCGCGCUGGGAGGGGUCUGCGCCCGAUUAGCUAGUUGGCGGGGUAACGGCCCACCAAGGCGGUGAUCGGUAGCUGGUCUGAGAGGAUGAUCAGCCACACGGGGACUGAGACACGGCCCCGACUCCUACGGGAGGCAGCAGCAAGGAAUUUUCCGU